rnacentral:tRNA from 1 species
GGGCUCGUAGCUCAGUCUGGCAUGAGCGCUGGCUUUGCAAGCCAGAAGCCGCGGGUUCAAAUCCCGCCGAGUCCA